rnacentral:rRNA from 1 species
GACGAACGCUGGCGGCGUGCCUAAUACAUGCAAGUCGAACGCUUUUUCUUUCACCGGAGCUUGCUCCACCGAAAGAAAAAGAGUGGCGAACGGGUGAGUAACACGUGGGUAACCUGCCCACCAGAAGGGGAGAACACUCGGAAACAGGUGCUAAUACCGUAUAACACUAUUUUCCGCAUGGAAGAAAGUUGAAAGGCGCUUUUGCGUCACUGAUGGAUGGACCCGCGGUGCAUUAGCUAGUUGGUGAGGUAACGGCUCACCAAGGCAACGAUGCAUGGCCGACCUGAGAGGGUGAUCGGCCACACUGGGACUGAGACACGGCCCAGACUCCUACGGGAGGUAGCAGUAGGGAAUCUUCGGCAAUGGACGAAAGUCUGACCGAGCAACGCCGCGUGAGUGAAGAAGGUUUUCGGAUCGUAAAACUCUGUUGUUAGAGAAGAACAAGGAUGAGAGUAAAACGUUCAUCCCUUGACGGUAUCUAACCAGAAAGCCACGGCUAACUACGUGCCAGCAGCCGCCGUAA